UACGGAAGGGGCAAGCGUUGUUCGGAAUCAUUGGGCGUAAAGGGCGCGUAGGUGGUUCUGUAUGUCUACCGUGAAAGCGUACGGCUCAACCGUAUUUUGUCGGUAGAAACUGCAGGACUUGAGGCUGGGAGGGGCUGGUGGAAUUCCCUGUGUAGCGGUGAAAUGCGUAGAGAUGGGGGAGAACACUCGUGGCGAAGGCGGCCUGCUGGGCUGCACCUGACGCUGAACCGCGAAAGCCAGGGGAGCGAACGGG
rnacentral:rRNA from 1 species